rnacentral:piRNA from 1 species
CCUCCUGAUGUAAAAUGGGGACUGAUG